UACGUAGGGGGCAAGCGUUGUCCGGAAUCAUUGGGCGUAAAGCGCGCGUAGGCGGCUCGGGAAGUCCGCUCUGAAAGUCCAAGGCUCAACCUUGGAAUGCGGGUGGAUACUGCCGGGCUAGAGUCCGGAAGAGGCGAGUGGAAUUCCUGGUGUAGCGGUGGAAUGCGCAGAUAUCAGGAGGAACACCAAUAGCGAAGGCAGCUCGCUGGGACGGGACUGACGCUAAGGCGCGAAAGCGUGGGGAGCGAACAGG
rnacentral:rRNA from 1 species